rnacentral:rRNA from 1 species
UACGUAGGGGGCAAGCGUUAUCCGGAUUUACUGGGUGUAAAGGGAGCGUAGACGGAUGGACAAGUCUGAUGUGAAAGGCCGGGGCUCAACCCCGGAGCUGCAUUUGAAACUGCUCGGCUAGAGUACAGGAGAGGCAGGCGGAAUUCCUAGUGUAGCGGUGAAAUGCGUAGAUAUUAGGAGGAACAUCAGUGGCGAAGGCGGCCUGCUGGACUGUUACUGACACUGAGGCACGAAAGCGUGGGGAGCAAACAGG